CACGUCAGCGUUCAGGCAUUCGCAGAAUCGAAACUGCAAAAGUGACGUGACGUCCCAUAGACGCGGUUUACGACAUCUGCCGCGGUGAAAACCUGCAAGGCGUAUAGGGUAAACAAAUUCGGCGAAAGGCUGGUGGGGUGUCGUACCCACCGGUCUUUU
rnacentral:ncRNA from 1 species